UCAGGACAACGAUACAGACUCCCUUCGAGACUUCAGCUCAUCAACAUGGUUUCCAAGAUCCUUAUUGUUGCUUUGGGUUUGGCUGCCCUGGUGGCAUCUGACGACAGCUUCGAAAGAUACAGAUAUGCUCCUCCAAGGGUCUCCUCCGCCUCCCGGGAAGGGUCCUUCGAGUCCUUCGAAUCCGGCGAAGCCAAGUACAA